AAGCCCCCGGCUCAACCGGGGAAGGGUCAUUUGGAAACUGGGAAACUUUGAGUGCAGAAGAGGAGAGUGGAAUUCCACGUGUAGCGGUGAAAUGCGUAGAGAUGUGGAGGAACACCAGUGGCGAAGGCGACUCUCUGGUCUGUAACUGACACUGAGGAGCGAAAGCGUGGGGAGCGAACAGGAUUAGAUACCCUGGUAGUCCACGCCGUAAACGAUGAGUGCUAAGUGUUAGAGGGUUUCCGCCCCUUAGUGCUGAAGCUAACGCAUUAAGCACUCCGCCUGGGGAGUACGGUCGCAAGACUGAAACUCAAAGGAAUUGACGGGGGCCCGCACAAGCGGUGGAGCAUGUGGUUUAAUUCGAAGCAACGCGAAGAACCUUACCAGGUCUUGACAUCCUCUGACAAUCCUAGAGAUAGGACUUCUCCUUCGGGAGCAGAGUGACAGGUGGUGCAUGGUUGUCGUCAGCUCGUGUCGUGAGAUGUUGGGUUAAGUCCCGCAACGAGCGCAACCCUUGAUCUUAGUUGCCAUCAUUCAGUUGGGCACUCUAAGGUGACUGCCGGUGACAAACCGGAGGAAGGUGGGGAUGACGUCAAAUCAUCAUGCCCCUUAUGACCUGGGCUACACACGUGCUACAAUGGACAGAACAAAGAGCUGCGAGACCGCGAGGUGAAGCUCAUCUCAUAAAUCUGUUCUCAGUUCGGAUCGCAGUCUGCAACUCGACUGCGUGAAGCUGGAAUCGCUAGUAAUCGCGGAU
rnacentral:rRNA from 1 species